rnacentral:sRNA from 1 species
AGUUGAAGGUUGCGAUGGCCUCUCCUCCCGGCCCAUCCUCUUCAGCUGUUCCCCUCUGGAGGUUGACACCUUCAAAACUCAAGGGUCCCGGUUAUACCGGAGACCCUUUUUU